UGUUGGGGUUCAGCCAGCCACGCCCCCUGCCUGCUCCUCCAACUCCACUCAGCCAGCGGUCUAUCGUCAGGAUAUGACACCCGGAUGUGGCUGGGGAUACGUGUCUCCGUGUCUCCGGGAAGACUAAUUAGCAGCUUGCAGAGAAGAGCCCAUUCUCUGGGGCCCCAUUAAUUACAGAGCUCCUGGCAACUCACCAACGCUUCCUGCACAGAGAGGUCACACCCUGGUGUCGCCAGUCAGAUCUGCGCGGGAUCUGAUUGCCCUUCAUGGUUAUUUCCCUGAUCAUCGCUCCCCAGAGGUCGGUCUGGCUACAGCCUGGAAUACUUGAGUGCAGUAAUUUGCAAGAUUUAUGGAAAACAAUUUCUCAGAAAUGUGCUCUCAAUUUUCAUUGGGCAAAUUCUUCUUUCUCCGGUAAGUGCUGGAGCAUAUGGAGGCGGCAAAUGGUUUAAUGGACAGCGUAGAAGUAACAUUUUUCUUCUGAAGUUGAUGAUUUGCACUUAAGGCUUCCAGUCGCAUUUUUUACGAUAGCAAGUGUUCAGAGCAAAUUAAAGGGAAAGGGAAAAGCGCCGAUCUUUCAAGCGGGCUAUCUCCACAGCUCGGGAACAAUGGGGCCAUUCCAUUUCAGAGACUCGUGUGCACCCCCUGGCGCUCCCCCCCUCACCCCCGUCCUCGAGAAGGAGACUGAACGUCUCCACCCCAGGCUGUCUGUCCUCUCCUACCUGUCUCUGUGCUCUGUGCAAGGCACUCAUUCCUUUCUAACAUGUAACACAAUGAGAUCAAAAUGGCCAAGAGCUGUCUUUCUAGUCUCUGGGCAGAAAGGUUCCUGGUGGAAACCAUCACCUAAUGAAAAGUUAGGAAAAAAUAUACAGCGGAAGUAAACACGGCCCAGGUGAAUAUGCACAAAGCCCAGCUGCUCCUUGUAAUCAUAACAUUUGCAGCCAUUAUUACAUUUUUGUCGUUUUACAGCAUGAGAGAACAGUAGAGGGAGGUCUUAGAAUCAGCCAUCUGACCAUUUGAAGUUGGAGUAACAGCAUACAAUGCACUCGUUUGUCCAGCCAUGUCCAUUCAUUAAGCAUCCUCCAGGCUUCAUGCACCUGUUUUUCCAUCUCCCAGUGUCACCCACUGUGACGUCACUCUCACACAUCCAUCAGGUGGCCUUCCUCUAUCCUCCUAUAACACCCUCUCCAUCGCUCUGCACUGCCUUUGUCACUACAUGUGGCCAUUAGCAGGUGACGUUUGUCCUCUACGUCGACAGUGGGCUAGGGUGAUGACAUAGCCUGCUUUCCACUGAAUACUCAGCACCCGGAGCAGGUGUUGAACAAUGAACCACAACGUGGGCUCAACGAAAUAAUGAGGACCUGGUGUGAUAGCCAAACAAACCCAGUUCUCCCAGGGCCCGCUCUGAGAGUCGACACGGAAGGUGGGGCACUUCUGAGGAAUUAUGAAACCGGAAGGAAAAGCUCUCUCUCUAAAACUGACAUAUCGGGGUGCUCUUUUAAAGGCUGCUGUCGGAUUUGAUUCAGCACCAGCAGGGAAAGUAGAGAUUGCCUGGGAGACUCCACUCCCUCCUCUGCCCUCACCUACGUGCAGAGAAAUGGAAAUUAUGAAAUCUGCUUAAAGUCAUGCAACCUACUGGUGACUAGGCCAUGGGAAGGGCAAAGGUUGUUGGAUGCCCCCAGUCCACGGGCCCGGAAAGGCAGAGCUGACCACCUGCAAGACACACCCUUGAAGCACUAGCUUCUGCUUUCACAGGUGCAACUCUGUGCCACACGUCAGAGAAGCCGUGCCCUCGAGCUCGUGCUUUAAAUGAAGGUUUGUGCAAAU